GUUCACGUCAGACGCAAUUCCGACACGGCGGCAGUCGUACGUUCCGCGAUCACACGCACACACCGCGACAUUUUUACCUCUUACACACUGAACACACCACCUUAACCACCACCAUCACCAUCACCUCCACCACCUCGAUCACCACACGUAUCCAAACCCUUACAGACACACCACACACACCGUCCCGAGUCCCAUAUUGUUUUUUACGAUCGUUGUCAUUUUCGCGCGUUUUACACCGAUUAAUAAGGAAAAAAAAAAUAAUAAUUUCAACGUCAAUCGGAGACUCGGUUUUAUUUUUCUCUCUGGCCGUCGCGUGUGUGUAUUCCCAUUCUAUAAAUAAUAUAUUAUAAAUACAAUAAUAUAGUUAAACGACACAAAUCGAAAUAUCGCCGCCGAUACGACUGUGCACGGUCGACCGUCCUCGCCGCCCCUGCAGUAGUGACCUGCCGUCGUCACCGAGUCUGCAAACUACCGUCAUCGUCGUCGUCGUCCGAAACCGAAACCGAAAACACGAUACUGCCGAUCAGCUGCUGCUGCAGAAACCGUGCCGCGCCACGGUAGUGACCACAUGUUGGCGCUGGUAGUGGUCGUCGCGCAGCAUUACACCCACCCGGUUGAAUCGUGGAGGCCGUCGCCGUUGGAGGGUUGAAGAGGGCCCGAGGUGGUGCGUACAACGGACCGGAGGCCGCCGCCGCGACCCUCAAGAAGCUCAGACUGGACGCCGCCACAGCCGCCGCAGCCGCAGCCGCAGCCGCAGCGAUGAACAUGUCGCCAACUGGUCACACGCCACCGUUGCAAGUACAACAGCAGCAAGGACCCGGCAGCGUAUCGGUUGACGGUCAGCAGUCCGUCGUCACAGGCAUGUGCAACAGCAUCGAUUCCGUCGGGCCCGGCGAGGAAGAGGUAAGAACGUUAUUCGUCAGUGGUCUACCAAUGGAUGCCAAGCCACGUGAACUGUACUUGCUGUUUCGAGCAUAUGAGGGUUACGAAGGAUCUCUGUUAAAAGUUACAAGCAAAAAUGGCAAAACAGCUUCGCCAGUGGGUUUUGUUACGUUCCAGACACGCGCUGGCGCCGAAGCUGCCAAACAAGACCUUCAGCAGGGCGUCCGGUUCGAUCCCGACAUGCCGCAAACCAUACGGCUAGAAUUCGCUAAAAGCAACACGAAGGUUAGCAAGCCAAAACAGCCCGCCAACGCAAACGUCACGCCCAACACGCACCAAGGCCUGAUGCACCCGCUCACCGGACAUCUAGGCGCUCCGUUCUUCACCGGCGCUCCAGCAGAGUUAUGGCACCAUCCGUUGGCGUACGCUGAUAUGCCGACUGCAGCCACGGCCACGGCUCUACAACACGCAGCUCUCGUCCAUCCGGGGCUACAUCCACAUCCUCAACAGCCGACGUUGACGCUGGGCCCACACGGCCUUCCGUUCCUGCCCUCCCCCGCACUGCCCUCGCCGCCCAACCAGCAGCAGCCCCAGCCGCCCUGUUCCACGCUGUUCGUCGCCAACCUCGGGCAGUUCGUGUCCGACCACGAGCUUAAAGACAUUUUCGCCAGAACGAGUUACAGUCAGUCAAAGCAGACGUUUAAUUAUUGGCCGACCGCCUAUAAAUGAAGACAUUGAUAAACGUAUUUCUCUAUACCCAUGUACAUAAGAAAACAUAUUAUAAGGGAGUAUGCUGGCCAAAAGAAAUUGGACAACGUCAAUUUCACGUAUACUCACAUGCAGUUGAACAACACCUGACAACUACAAGAUAGACCACCAGUACCUGCCCAAGUCUAGAAAAUUCGCGACACGAUAAAAACAACCUCCCAAAGUCCUAAAGAAAAAAUAUUAAUUUAAGUCGAUUUAAAUUUGAAAAAAAAAAUUAUUAUUGAAUAAUUAUUACUAGCUUAAAGCUUCUUAAGCUGUUGUACAAAGCAGUUAAAAUUUCCUUGUACGCCUGUAGUGUUUAUAAAACAUACCUAUUCAUCAUAUUUAUAUUAUAUGUAGUAUACCUAAUUCCUAACUUUAUUCCCUAAGCUUUUAAACUAAUACCUAAAUAAUCGUCCUAUGCUUUUUUUAGUGGGUAGUGUAAGAUCUUAAGACUCAUCAAAUCUGUGAUUGUUUCUCAUGUAUUUUUUUUAUCCUAAAAAAAUUGUCUAUUCUCGUAUAGGCGUGGUUCAGAUAUUAGCAAUAAUAAUUACUAAUGACACAAAAAAAAAAAAUAAAAUAAAUAAAAAUGUAAGCGCGCUCAUAUACAUUCACUAAAUACAUAUCAAUAAUGCUUUGAAAGGGGAUUAACGUUAAACAUUGUAAAUAAUUUUGUAAAAGACUAAGUCUGUUUGGAUGGUCAGACGCUAACAGACUGCGUGAAGUCGAUCAUAUCGGAUCGCGUAGUCCAUAUAGCUUCGGCUAGUCUGCGGCGAUGUCCAAACCGAUAACGGUUUAGUCAAAAAAAAAAAUAUAUAUAAAUAAAUAUAAAUAAAUAUAUUAAAAAACAAAUUAUUAUUAUUAUUAUUAUACUAAAUGAUUGAAUUCUGCAAACUAUUUUUUUAUACAAUUUAGUCAUUUAUUUCUUGCCAUUAUAUACGAGUAGAUUUUGUUUCAAACAAAUUUACAGGGUGCAGCUUGUUUAGCAGCUCAUGGAAGUUUUUUAGGUAGGUACGAGGAUUUUUUUCGUUGUUGCGUAUUCUCGUCUUUUUUUCGAAAAAAAAAUUAGGAUAUUUCUGGGAACACGUAAGCUAAUUAUUAUAAACAAUAAUCGCGUACAUAAUAUUUGAUAAUUAAUUUAAAAUGACAAUCUUUUUUUAAGUUUUUAAUUUUUUAAGAGACAAUAAUAAUUUUUCAAUGUUUUUGUUCUCGGAGUAUUUUUUUUUUAUGUAAUAUUAAUAAUAUACAACUGAAAAAGACCAAAGAUUACGUUCUAUUAUAGUUUAUUGUCAUUUUAUUUUUAGACAACUACCAAUGAAUAAUAUUGAAAAAAAAAUAUUCUUUUUUCCUGCGUUUCAGUGUACAUAAUAUGUAUGUUUUCAGUGUA
rnacentral:misc_RNA from 1 species